CGAAAUCCCUAAAACCUAGUUCGUUAAUCCCUAAAUCAAAAGUCACCUGCUGCUGCCGUGAAGUCAAGGCCACAAGGCCCACCGACGACCACCGCGGACUAUGAAAACCACCAGACCAACCCACCUUCAAUCAAUUUCAGAGAGGUUUUUAACACCUAUGUUCAAGUCUCAACUCAACUUGUCUAAAAAGCAAACCAAAACGAACCAAAACAAGAACAAUAAUCGAACAUUAUAACGCGCCAUUUGCAGAGAGGUUGAUAUUAUUUCAGUAAUUUAGGUUUUUUCAUCUUAAGCGCCUAAUUUUACUCUAUUAUGGGGAGAUUAUAUGGAGCUGUAAGAGAAAUGUUUAAGAAUCCAGUUCCUUCAGAACGCUCAUUUUACAUGAAUUUACUUCAAAUUUGCAUUGAUUCAAAAGCUGCAAAAGAAAGCCGCUUGGUUCACAAAUACUUGUUCUUUAAUGCGAUUGAUUUAGAUGUAAAUUUGAGUACGAAAAUGAUCAUAUUGUAUAGCAAAAUUGGUGACAUGGGAUAUGCACGUAAAGUGUUUGAUAGAAUGCUUGAAAGAAAUAUUGUAUCUUGGACUGCUCUAUUAUCUGGGUACUCUCAAAAUGGCCUUUUUAAGGAGGCUAUGAUGGUUUUUCAGAGUAUGCAUCAUUCAGGUGUAAAGGGUAAUCAAUUCACCUAUGGUAGUGUAUUGAAGGCAAGUAUUAAGUUGACGUGUUUAAGAAGUGGGAUGCAAAUUCAAGGGUGUUUAGAGAAGAGUAGGUUUUCUAGGAAUUUGUAUGUGCAAAGUGCUUUGGUUGAUUUGCAUUCCAAGUGUGGGAAUAUAAAGGAUGCAUUUAAUGUAUUUCAGAUGAUGUCUGAGAGGGAUUUGGUUUGUUGGAAUGCAAUGAUCGGUGGAUAUGCAGUCCAGGGAUUUGCAAUUGAUGCAUUUCAAAAGUUCAGAUUAAUGAUGAAAGAAGGUAUGAUACCUGAUUGCUUUACUUUUGGAAGUUUACUUAGAGUUUGUGCACAAGACAAGAAUCUCAUCGGAGUCUGCCAAAUUCAUGGACUUAUUGUAUUUUAUGGUUUUGGAUUACAUGAUUUUUUGAGAAGAUUACUCAUAGAUGCGUAUGCAAAAUGUGGAAGCACAAAGCAAGCUUACUCUGUAUUUAAGUGUGCAACGGUGAAGGAUGUAAUGUUAUACACUGCUAUGAUAGCUGGCUAUGCUCAUAAAAUUGACCAUCAUAUUGAUGCUUUGAAUCUCUUCGGUGAAAUAUAUCGCAGUGACAUUUCGUUGGAUGGUUUUCUGCUCUGUACAAUGCUUAGUAUAUGCUCUACUUCAUCGUAUUUGAACUUUGGAAGACAAAUUCAUGCUAUUGCAUUAAAAUUUGUGUCUGCCCAUGAUGUUGCUAUGAGCAAUGCGCUCAUCGAUAUGUAUGCCAAAUGCGGGGAGCUUGAAGAAGCCAUUUGUGUUUUUGAUCAAAUGGAGGAAAAGAAUGUUAUUUCGUGGUCAUCUCUAAUAGAUGGAUGUGCUAAGCAUGGCUAUGGACAUAAGGCAAUGGAACUUUAUAGGAAGAUGGAAUCUGGAGGCCUCAAACCAAAUAGCAUUACAUUCUUGUCUCUUCUGUUUUCUUGUAGCCAUACAGGCCUGAUGGAAGAAGGUUGGAAUUGCUUCAAUAAUAUGGUUGGAAAGCAUAAAAUAACUCCGAAUGAAAAACACUAUGCAUGUAUGAUGGAUAUAUAUGCACGAGGCGGCCGAAUAGAAGAAGCUUUCAAGCUAAUGCAAAAGAUGAAUAUUCAGCCCAAUGAAUCACAAUGGAGAGCAAUUCUUGGUGCUUCAAACAUCCAUGGAAACAUCACCCUUGGGAAAGUAGCAGCAAGCCACCUUAUCGAAAUGGAUAACCAAAACUCUUCUGAUUAUGUUGCUUUGGCUAGGAUAUAUGCUGCAGCCGGUUUGUGGGAUAACUCUUGGACUACACAAAAGUUGAUGGAGGAAAAAAAGUUGAAAAAGAAUCCUGGCUGCACGCUUGACCUGUCCCAAGGGACGAGAACAAUGCUUCUUCAACGCUGAAAAACAUUUGAUGUGCAAAUACUAAUAUAUCUUUGAAAGAUGUUUUGAUGGUGAACCGUGAUUGGUGAAGCUCAUAGUGGCACUAUUCAACGAUGUCAAAAUUCCAAGCAAAGUCUGAAUACUCAAUAUAUGUGUCAUCUGUGAUUCAACUUAUAAAAUCAAGCUUCGGCUUGGAUAAGCUUUGCCAGAUUCAGGCCAUCAUACUGACGAGGGAAGACUGAAGGAGCCAAAUAAGACUGACAAGAAAAACCACAUUCCACCUUAUCGUCUAUGAAGUAGCCAAAGAUAAGAAGAGAUGCUGCAUUCUGUAGAAUUCCACACCAUUUCUGUGGUAGAAAAUCAUGGUUAUCGUCCAUAAGGGAGUUAUGGUACAUAUAUAAUUCAACUGAUGUUUUGGCUUGUGUUUGGUAUCUAAUACUCAUGAUGAUAUUUCUAUCAUCUACAAGGUUUUUAAAUUUUGUGAUCCCCUUCGGUGUUUUCUUCAGUUGAGCAGUGAGCCAUCAUUUUUAUUUUCCAACGAUGGUGUUCUUCAAAGAUGAUUACACCUAAAUGCUCUUCCAUUCUGUACUUUUGAUGUUGAAAGUGUAAAUGUACAGCCAUACUUGGUUUUUCAUCGGAUUCAGAUAGUGUUUUUCUUGAUUGGAAUGGAGGGAAUACUUCGCUCCAUAGUUACUUUAUUCAUAUUCUUCUUCAGUCCCUUUGAAAUUGCAAUAAAAUGAGUUGUCUCUUGUCACAAAGACUAAAGUGGUGGGGACAUUUGAAUUGUGGGGAAUGUAAAUGAUAUUAAAAGGGAAAAUAAAUGUAUGGAUGAAAAUUAAAGUAAGUUGUGGUGACAUUAUUUUUUAUAAAUGAAAUGUUACAAAUUUAAAGAAACUAACUACAAAAAAAGUGUGAUAAAUACAAAGGGACAAAGAGAGAGAGAGAGUAACAUUUAUGGCAAGUACCUUACAGUUAGUCCAAUAAGUCAACUAGGAGUAUGAUCAAGAACGUUAGGUGCUGCUGCUUUGGGAUUCUUUUGUUUUGCAGUUAUGUCUAAUAGAAGUAAAAACAUAGAGUUGUUCACCUAAUUAAGUUGAUAGCUUGUCUAAAAUAAAAUAGAGUUCAUCUAAUAUUAUAUUUGAAAUUUGGAUUAUCUCAAAUGUUGACCUUUAAAUGAACAUGAUUAGACAAAAAAAAUUUGGUGAUUAGGGAAAAAAACAUAAUUUGUAGAGUUGAUUAGUCCACGAAUUCUAUCUGCAGUCUAAAUUUCCGAACUUUCAGGGUAAGUUUGUAGGCCGGGCCAAGCUGGGCUUUGUGUUGUGUGAAUUUGAAUAGUUCUAAUAAGUUUUUUUUAAUGUCUCUUUGAAUUUACAAUUUGCACCAUUAACUAAGAUCACAUAAACGCAAUUUUAUAAUAAUAGUGCAUAUUCGAAGAAACGGAGGAGGACAAGGCUUAUGGAAAAUAUAUAGUUUUAGUCACAGUCAUGGUAAAAGUCGCGAAGCGACUUCCUUAGUCAAUGCUGAUGAUUUCUUAGUUAUUUUAACCUAUGCUUUAGUCAUAAUAAAGCUCAAAAAUCUUAAUAAUAGGAUUGCAAUAUGAUAAUAGGGAUGGUAUUUCACUCUAAAAUUUGAGCAUGACAGGGAGAGAUGCUUGCACGUAAUGAAAAGCAGAAGACUUUAUUAUGAAUAUAAAAUAUAGGAAAUUUCUAAUAAAAUAUAUUUUUUUAUAGUAAGAUUUUCUAAAAUAAUACUCCAUAAUAAUGUAAGAGAUCGGAGAUAAUUGUGCUAAUUCUGAUAUAGGAAGCAGAAAAUGUUUGUUCUUUUCCCUUUCUGUGAAAACUUAGCAUAGAUUACUGCUGUUAGAGCAGUCUUGAAUUAGACUAAUAUUUGUGGGUGGCUCAUAGACAAACAUAUUGGACGAUAUUUUAUACGAGUGGUAUAUAAAAGUGAUAAGUUAAGCUUGGGUACUACGUAUUAA